GAUGAACGCUAGCUACAGGCUUAACACAUGCAAGUCGCGGGGCAGCAUGGGGGUUGCUUGCAAUCCCCGAUGGCGACCGGCGCACGGGUGAGUAACGCGUAUCCAACCUGCCCUUCACCACGGGAUAACCCGGCGAAAGUCGGACUAAUACCGUAUGUUGUCCAUUGACGGCAUCCGAUUUGGACGAAAGGUUUGGCGGUGAAGGAUGGGGAUGCGUCCGAUUAGCUGGACGGCGGGGUGACGGCCCACCGUGGCGACGAUCGGUAGGGGUUCUGAGAGGAAGGUCCCCCACACUGGAACUGAGACACGGUCCAGACUCCUACGGGAGGCAGCAGUGAGGAAUAUUGGUCAAUGGGCGUAAGCCUGAACCAGCCAAGUAGCGUGCAGGAUGACGGCCCUAUGGGUGUAAACUGCUUUUAUGCGGGGAUAAAGUGGCCCACGUGUGGGUUUUUGCAGGUACCGCAUGAAUAAGGACCGGCUAAUUCCGUG
rnacentral:rRNA from 1 species